GCCUAACACAUGCAAGUCGAGCGGAAACGACACUAACAAUCCUUCGGGUGCGUUAAUGGGCGUCGAGCGGCGGACGGGUGAGUAAUGCCUAGGAAAUUGCCUUGAUGUGGGGGAUAACCAUUGGAAACGAUGGCUAAUACCGCAUAAUGCCUACGGGCCAAAGAGGGGGAUCUUCGGACCUCUCGCGUCAAGAUAUGCCUAGGUGGGAUUAGCUAGUUGGUGAGGUAAUGGCUCACCAAGGCGACGAUCCCUAGCUGGUCUGAGAGGAUGAUCAGCCACACUGGAACUGAGACACGGUCCAGACUCCUACGGGAGGCAGCAGUGGGGAAUAUUGCACAAUGGGCGAAAGCCUGAUGCAGCCAUGCCGCGUGUAUGAAGAAGGCCUUCGGGUUGUAAAGUACUUUCAGUUGUGAGGAAGGGGGUAGCGUUAAUAGCGCUGCCUCCUGACGUUAGCAACAGAAGAAGCACC
rnacentral:rRNA from 1 species